rnacentral:misc_RNA from 1 species
UCCGGCUUAUCACCGGCAGUUUCCUUAGAGUUCCCAGCAUUACCUGUUGGCAACUAAGGACGAGGGUUGCGCUCGUUGCGGGACUUAACCCAACAUCUCACGACACGAGCUGACGACAGCCAUGCAGCACCUGUGUGGUAGCCAGCCAAACUGAAGGGAUAAAUCUCUCUAUCCCAAACUACCCAUGUCAAGGCCUGGUAAGGUUCUUCGCGUUGCCUCGAAUUAAACCACAUGCUCCACCGCUUGUGCGGGUCCCCGUCAAUUCCUUUGAGUUUUAAUCUUGCGACCGUACUCCCCAGGCGGAGUGCUUAAUGCGUUAGCUGCGCCACUGAGAUCUAAGACCCCAACGGCUAGCACUCAUCGUUUACAGCGUGGACUAC